AAUGAACGUUGGCGGCGUGGAUUAGGCAUGCAAGUCGCGCGAUAUUCCCUCGCAAGGGGGAUGAAAGCGGCGAAAGGGAGAGUAAUACGUGGAUUACCUACCCUCAGGACCGGGAUAGCCGCGGGAAACUGCGGGUAAUACCGGAUAACAUCUCCGGAUCAAAGGUGCGAUUCCGCCUGAGGAGGGGUCCGCGUCCUAUUAGCUUGUUGGUGGGGUAAUGGCCUACCAAGGCAAUGAUGGGUACGGGGUGUGAGAGCAUGACCCCGCUCACUGGGACUGAGACACUGCCCAGACACCUACGGGUGGCUGCAGUCGAGGAUCUUCGGCAAUGGGCGCAAGCCUGACCGAGCGACGCCGCGUGCGGGAUGAAGGCCUUCGGGUUGUAAACCGCUGUCAGUGGGGAGGAAAUCCUGGGAGGUUCUCCUUUCAGGUUGACCUAUCCGCAGAGGAAGUACGGGCUAAGUUCGUGCCAGCAGCCGCGGUAAGACGAACCGUACGAACGUUAUUCGGAAUCACUGGGCUUAAAGGGUGCGUAGGCGGUCCGGUAAGUUGGGUGUGAAAUGCCUCGGCUCAACCGAGGAAUUGCGCUCAAUACUGUCGGACUCGAGGGAGACAGAGGUGAGCGGAACUUAGGGUGGAGCGGUGAAAUGCGUUGAUAUCCUAAGGAACACCGGUAGCGAAAGCGGCUCACUGGGUCUCUUCUGACGCUGAUGCACGAAAGCUAGGGGAGCGAACGGGAUUAGAUACCCCGGUAGUCCUAGCUGUAAACGAUGAGCACUUGGUUGGAGGGUCCUCCAUAGCCCUCCAGCCGGAGCGAAAGUGUUAAGUGCUCCGCCUGGGGAGUAUGGUCGCAAGGCUG
rnacentral:rRNA from 1 species